CAUCGUUGUCGUCGCAGUCGGUAGGUAUUGUCGGAGUCGUUAGUAUUGUAUUAUUACUUUGGUUUGUCGUCGGCGCUUCAGUUGCCUAUGAGACGUCGUUACGGUCGCGUGUGUAGGCGCAGUUUUCGUGAGAGCGGUAGUGAAAUAAAUAAAUAGAAAUUAGUUAAAUUUUCGCACGCUUGUGGUUUGAUGAAAAAAUUACAAAUAAUUUAAAGCGUGUUUUCUGUCGUCAUUUGAAGACGUGUAUUGGAAAUGUGCAUUGCGAAAUAACAAAAAAACAAGUUAAUUUUGUUUGAGUGUUUUAAAAAAAAGUGUUUUGAAAUUCAAGCCGAAUUUGGUUUUACCAAAAAAUAUUAUUAAAUUAUUUAUUGAAAGUGUACUUGAGGAAAUCCCCCACACGUUUUUAUGUAUAUGUACAUAUGUAUAUUAAGCAAGGUGAAGUGGGAAAAUUGAUAUUUGUGCAAAGUGCAAGCUCGAUACAUGCGAGUAUACAUAUAUAUAUUUACAUAUUGGAUAUCAUGCAAAUGGUAAAGUGAAAAAAAAACAAAGCGAGUAUAUAUAAAACAUAUAAAACAAGUUUCUUGAAACGUCAAACUGCUGCUAUUUGUGUUUGUGUAUUUGUAUCGAGCUUUGUUGACGUGCGUCAGCUUGUUGUUCUGAAGAUGUUUAACCAAAACUUAAAUUCCCUCUACUUUACAUAAAGAAAAAUUAACUUUAAAUCGUCAAACAUCCAAUAUUCGACUUCAAUGCUUGGGGUCAAAUAGCUAAUUCAUAAUUCUACAACACACAAACAGAAGAUUGCAUCCAGAGAUACACCAUACAAAUCAACACAUUUACUUUGUUUACUUAUGCGAUGUAAAUUUCCAAAUAAAAAUUAAUAAGUAUUUGAAAUCAUCUACACAACAACAAAAAAUAUACAUACAUACUCGUACGUACAUCUAAUAAGAAGAAAUUAAAUCCCCUUCAAAGUGGAAUUAGUGUUUAAUUUGAUAAUACUCGUACACAGAGUGCUCGUGGUUAUAAAAAAAUUCAGUGAAAAUAUUGGAACCAGUGAAUCAAAAUAUUUAAGAAUCCUUUCCUGUUAGAGCCAAAAUUACAAAAACAAGGUAAGUCUCUUUUUAGUGUUUAUGAAAUUGUGAGGUUCUCCUUGAGUUGAAGUUUAUUUUUACUUGCAAUUAGUUUUAGUUUUUAAUAAAAUAUUGACUUUAUCUAAAGUUCUUAUCUUUAUACAUAUUUAUAAGUCAUUUAAUCAGUCUGCCUUGUAUGCAGUGCUACGUACAUAUAUGUAUAUGUAAAUACACAUUUUGAAUGCAUUCUUCUUCUUCACGCUAACUGAACGAACUAAAUGUUGUAUCGCACACGAAGUUAUGAAUAAACUGACAUAUCACGUCUCUCAUCUGUCAGUUGAAAUGUUAUGUAACGAAUGCCAAUGCUGGCAGACGUGUUGCCUUUUUUAUAAAAACACUGUAAGAAAAUAUAUCUUAGAUUAAUAAGGUAGAGCUUGAACUCAAACUCAGGAACAGCUGAUGGCUUAGGUUAGGACUUUCAAAUAUAGGAACUGAAAUUUUGUCGUUGAAGCUACAAUUUUCUUUGGGAGAAAAUAUCUUUCUUUUUCUACUUUCGAAGCGAUUUUCAUGUUAACUAAUUAUUAGCUUCAUUAAAAAUAAUAUCAGCGCCAAAUUUUUGCAAGGAAUAUUAUUAUUAAUAUUUGCAGCGGCAGCAUAUUGACACUAUUGUUUAUAUUAUUUGCUAAAACAGUCGCUUACGGUUGUGGCUGCUCUAUAUACCGCGUUUUUACAAGGAAAAUUCUAGGAGCUGGUCGUUAAGACUGCUGUCAUUAUUGCGAAUACUUUUCGCUUCAUACACUGUUGCCUCUUUUCUGCUUUGCAUCUCAAACAUUUUCCGCUUCUUUCUCAAUUAAGUUUUUGCUGAUGAUCCAAUGAAAAUGUCUCAUUAAAAAAUAUUUUACCAUUUAUUAAUAAAACACAAUUUUUUACAUAAAAGCAAUGCUGCCGAUUUUCAGAAUCGAAAAUUUUUCAAGGUUUCAACUCAAAAUAAUGUCAAAAUCAAUUCUCUGUGGCAAAUACAUAGAAAAAGAAAUUACGAUAAAAUCAAUUUUUAAUCAAUCAAAAGUGUUUAACUUAAAAAAUUAACUUUCGAUAUGCUUCGAAUAUAUUUUCGAGUGCAUGUAUUCGUAUAGCGUACUGCCAUUUCAACUUUCAAACUUUGCUCUCCACGAAAUGACCUGCUAACCCUUUUGUCAAAAUAGUAAAAGGUAACACGUACGACUACAAAAGCUGUACAUCCUUACACACGCACACACACACACAACGAUAUUUGUAUUAAGCUUAUUAUUCUGUGUACAAAAGUAGUAAAAAAACUCCAACUUUUCUGCACGCUUUGCAAACUGUUCCCAUUGCACAUGAAUACAAAAAUAUAAGUUGGCAAAUAUUCAGCAGCAAAAGUAUACAUAGAUAUAUAGAAGUAUCCAUAUAAUACAUUGCUGUGUGUAUAACAUACUUGAUUGCAUGAAAUAUCAUUUAACCCAUCCAUCACUCAUUUUAAACGACAGUCUGUCAAGUCUGUUACAUAACUAUCAGUUUUUAAGUUCAUUUGCAUAACGGGAGUAAAAUGAUAACAUCCACCCAAUGCUUACUUACGUGCAUUCAUAUGUGUACACAUACAUAAUAAUAUAUGCAUGAAAAACUUUUUCAAUAUUUUCAUUAAAGAUGAAAGAGAAAUAAGAACGGAAUGGCAAGAAUUGAAAGGUAACAAAGAUAUUAAGUCAAUAUUGCGAAAUACGUUUAUUAGUAGAGGGAUCAAUGGAGAGAAAAAACUUCACAGGAGUAUCAAGUGAAAUAAACAAUGUCGUGUUGGAGCUGCAUAAUCAUUUGGCUAUAUAUACAGCUACAUAUGUUAAAUUCUGUAUGAUUUGAGCAAAAUCUGUUUAAACAAAAUUUUGAAAAUUACCGAAAUUUGAAUUUGAUGUAACUUCGUAAUGGAGUUUAGUUAUAUGCAAACCCAAUGUUUAUGAAGCUAAAAAAUAAUUUACAUACAUAGGGUGUUAAGAGAGAAGAGAAUAAGACACCGAGCUCCACACAU
rnacentral:lncRNA from 1 species